rnacentral:rRNA from 1 species
UUUGUAGGUGGCUUGCUAAGUCAGACGUGAAAUCCCUCAGCUUAACUGGGGAACUGCGUCUGAGACUGGCAAGCUUGAGUGCAGGAGAGGAACGCGGAAUUCCAGGUGUAGCGGUGAAAUGCGUAGAUAUCUGGAGGAACACCGGUGGCGAAGGCGGCGUUCUGGACUGUAACUGACACUGAGGAACGAAAGCCAGGGAGCAAACG